UUCACCAAGCAUUCUUUUAUUAUUCACGAUUCAAGCAUUUUUUGUUCUUUGUAAUUCUAUCAUACUCAAGAGUUCUUAUUGCUUUCUUAUUCUGUCCAUCUUUAUCGAAAAUUUUAGGGUGUUAAGACCUAACUCUCCUUGACAAAGGUUGAGUUGGAUUGAUUGAGGAAGGAUUGCAGUAAACACUUCUUGGGUUUUGGCUAGUAUACGUUGUAAUUUCCAAUUUUCUGCAUUGUUUUACUCUACAUUACAGCACUGUUUUUAGUUUUCAGUUUUUAUUUUCAUUCAAGUUUUGUACUCUUUCACAUUAGCUUAAUUUUAUAUAAGUUCUUCCAUUAUUCUCCAUCUUUAUUUUGUUUUAAGUUCUUUCAUUAUUCUCCAUCUUUAUUUUGUGUUUACUUUUUAUCAUGUUUUUCAACCUAUUUGUUGUUUUAGUUUGUUUCAAUAUGGGCUAAAUCCUCCUUUGAGAUUUAAAUACGUAAGUGCCCCAAGGGAGGAUAAUAAGCCUUCCAUGCCCAAAAAUUAACUUUGCUAAUUUUCAUAACAUUAUUUGCUAUUGUUGAGUUUAUUUUCAUUAUUAAGUUAGACUAAUCACUUAGAUUGGUAAACAAAAGUUGGGUUUAAUACUGAAAGGGUUAUAUACGACUUAGUUUUCAUAAAAGUAAUAUAGUGAAAACCUUUAGGAUCUUUGAUCAUGUUUUAUUUAUCUAAGUUUACAUUAACCUUAGACAUAUAAGUUUAAUAGUUUAGUUUUCUAAAGGUACUUCAUAGAAGAUUGAAUAGGUGUUGAAAAUGGUCCACCAGUUUUAAGUUUGAGUCAAAAUUACAGUAGCAUGAAAGGUAACAUUCUCCAAUGGGUACACAUAUGUUUGAAUCCCUCUUUUCAUUAUCAUUUAUCUUUUCACAACAGCCAUCUCUCAAAAUAUUUUCUGGCUACAUUUGGUUUCUUUCUUGAUUAAAUUUUGUUCAUCAUAUAAAUUUUGCUAUACAUGUUCCCUUGGGUACUAAUGACCUCAACCAAGACGUAGCCUUAUUGUUGCAUUCGAUACGGUUAACAUAAAUUAUUGUUGUGAACAAAAUCCUAAAAUCUUAGAUCACCUUCUGAUUCACUACUUUUAUGAGGGAUUACUGUAGCAGGAGAAAAGCAAUAUUCACUAGAAGAAAUUCAGGCUUCAAUGUCGGUUGAAAAUAACAUUAUUGGAUGUAUUAUGUCGGUUGAAAAAAACGGAUCUUCAAUGUCGGUUGUAAACCGACAUUGAAGAUGGCCUACAAUGUCAGUUUAAAACCGACAUUGAUGGCCACCCAUUAUUUAUUUUAAAAAAAUUUAUCAAAAUUAAAUUUUGAUUUCCCUCUCGCGUGUGCCCUAACUUUCAUCUCUCAGCUCUCUCACUUUACCAAAUGUACUGCAAUGCCGUCGAAGCCGUCGAAGCUCCCUCGUAGUGCCCUAAAAUUUCCUCUCUCAGUAGUUGCUGGUCGGCCGUUUGCCUUCAGGUGGGGUUGUCUUCAUCGGGCGGUCAUCGGGCGAUCAUCGGAAACGAGCUCGUCAUCCAAGCUUCUCCAUCGCAGGUAUAUCCUCUGUCGUCAUCAUCCAAGCUUCUCCAUCGCAGGACAAGUCGUCUUUGACCACAAAUGGCAAGGCUAGCUUAUCUCAUGGAUGGUUCAAUUUUGACGUGUAAGGCUAAAUUUUGAUUCUUGGGAAUUUGGAAGGAAGAUAGGAAGAUUGUAUUGGACGUGUUUUAAGAAGGUUGACAAGUGGAGAAGGUGCACCCAACACAAAAAGGACUUCAUAACAACAUUAAUAACAAGGACAAGGUUUUCUCUGCAAAGACACAACCUCAGAAGCAUGUUGUUGAGGUAAAUUAUGCUAGAAAUCAGCAAGGCGAUCGAAUGUACAACAACAAUUGUUGGGGAACCAAGGCCACUAAGGCAAGAGCAGUUCGAGUAUGCCUUUGGAGGAUAUGGUGAAGAGCUCGACAGAGUCUACCAUGCAGAUUCAGCAAAACCAAAAGAAGUUCCAGUAGAGUUUUUCCUCUUACAUGAGUAGUAUGGCUACCCAAAUCUUCUAGUUAGCUGAUGCGGUCAGUAGGUUGGACACUUAGUAUGGGAAGCCUCCUUCUCAAUUAGUGCUCAAUGUGCGUAAUGUCAAUGUCAUUUAUGCUAUGAGCUACAUAUAGGGCCCUAAGAUGCUUGAUGAUGUUUUAGUUGAGGUUGUAAGUGAUGAGAAAAAUGAUGAUGUUGAGAGACAAAUUGCUAGCCUGCUAAGAAGAUGUAGGGUAAGAUUUGAUCCACUUUUAAAUUUAAAAGCUAAAUAUCCUUUGUGCUCUUUUUCCUUGCAAGUCGAUUGUUGCUCAGGGAGGAUUAGUUAAGAAGAAGGUGAAAUCUGUCCAAUCUUCUAUAGAAAAGAGGCCUACAACAAAGGGCAAGAAGGUUUGGGUUGAGGUUUCUAAAGAGAAAAAGAAAGAAGAUAUGGUCAAACAGAAAAUAGUUAUCCUAUGUAACUUACCUAUUAAGCAGGAAGACCCAGGUAUGUUUUUUGUGCCUUGUUAGAUAGGCAUGAGAAGAUUUGAGCAUGCCAUGUCAGAUUUAGGGUUUGCUAUUAAUAUUAUGCCUGCUUAUGUUUUCUGUGAAUUUCAGUCUCAUAUCCUGCACUCACAUGCUAUUUCGAUACAGUUAGCUGACCACUCUAUUGUUAGGCCAUUUGGAUUUGUAAAAGAUAUGUUGGUUAGAGUUAAUGAUCUAACAUUUUCUACUGAUUUUUAUGUUUUGGAUGUGAUGUCUUCUUCACCUCCUUUUGAUUUAUCUAUUAUGUGAAAGAGACCCUUUCUUAAGAUAAUUAAGGUUGUCAUCAAUGUGGACAAACAACCUCUAUAAAUUGAUCAGGGAGGUAAAGUUGAAAAAAAUUUAAUGAUUGAUUCUUCUCCCCCCACAAAUCCUAUGUGUUAUAGUACUCAUAUUUUACAGGAUAGUGGUUAAACUCCUAAGUUGGGAGUGGAAGAUGGAGAUAUGGCGGUUCAUGAUGGUUAUGGUUGAUGAAGCCGAGUCGGGUCGAGCAUACCGACGUUAAACAAUUGCGCUAACUAGAGGCAACCAAGAUUUAUUUUUUUUAUUGCUUUUUUAGUUUAGGUUUAUUUUCUAUUUAUUUUUUUUUUGGGCUUAGUUCUUUCAAUUUUUCUUGAUCUUUAGGUUUUAGUUAUCCUCAGAAGAUGGAGAUGAUUAUAUUUUUGAUGAGCAGGAUAUUACGGUCAUCCAAUGUGCCAAAU